rnacentral:rRNA from 1 species
GGGAAUAUUGGGCAAUGGGCGCAAGCCUGACCCAGCGACGCCGCGUGCGGGAUGACGCUUCUCGGAGUGUAAACCGCUGUCAGAGGGGACGAACGGCCGGAGUGGGAAUACUGCUUCGGAUUGACGGUACUCUCAAAGGAAGCGCCGGCUAACUCCGUGCCAGCAGCCGCGGUAAUACGGAGGAUCCAAGCGUUAUCCGGAAUCAUUGGGUUUAAAGGGUCCGUAGGCGGGAUAAUAAGUCAGCGGUGAAAGUCUGUGGCUCAACCAUAGAAUUGCCAUUGAUACUGUUGUUCUUGAGUGUUUAUGAAGUGGUUAGAAUAUGUAGUGUAGCGGUGAAAUGCUUAGAUAUUACAUGGAAUACCGAUUGCGAAGGCAGAUCACUAAUAAAAUACUGACGCUGAUGGACGAAAGCGUAGGUAGCGAA